GCAGCCACCUUUUAAAACGCGUCAAAGCGUAACCUUAGCCCCCAAAAUACCAUUAAUUUUCAUGAACCCCUAAUCUAUAAUGAAUGACUCCAUAUUUAUAUGGAAGACACCAUGCUAGGAUUAGUAACAAGAAUUUAUAAUUCUCCAAAAUGCAAAUAUAAACCAACAUGGAUGGACCAUUGGUAGUUACCGAACCUAAAUUCAAUGCAACAACACCUACAAGAAAACUCUGCAGUACUUACUCGUUAACCUAACACCAGCGCAUUACAGGAAAGAUUUAAAAAAAGAGAAGGAAUUCGGCAAAUGACGGCCCCGCCUGUUUACCAAAAACAUCGCCUCUUGACUUAUAAUAAGAGGUCCAGCCUGCCCAGUGAAUUUUAAACGGCCGCGGUAUCCUAACCGCGCGAAGGUAGCAUAAUCACUUGUUCUUUAAAUGGGGACUCGUAUCAACGGCAUCACGAGGGUUUUACUGUCUCCUCUUUUUGAUCAGUGAAAUUGAUCUUCCCGUGAAGAAGCGGGAAUAAAUUUAUAAGACGAGAAGACCCCAUGGAGCUUUAAACCAAAUAACAACUUAACCACUUAUCCCAUAAUAAAUUUAAGCCCUGUUAUAAGGUUUUUGGUUGGGGUGACCGCGGAGUAAAACACAUCCUCCACGACGAAAAAAACAGAAUCUUUAUUUAAGAACCACACUUCUAGAAAUUAGUAUACUAACGUUUACUGACCCGACAAUCGAUCAACGGACCAAGUUACCCUGGGGAUAACAGCGCAAUCUACUUCAAGAGCUCAUAUCGACAAGUAGGCUUACGACCUCGAUGUUGGAUCAGGGUAUCCCGGUGGUGCAGCCGCUACCGAAGGUUCGUUUGUUCAACGAUUAAAACCCUACGUGAUCU
rnacentral:rRNA from 1 species